AACGCUAGCUACAGGCUUAACACAUGCAAGUCGCGGGGUAACAUCUGGUAGAGCUUGCUCUUCCAGGAUGACGACCGGCGCACGGGUGAGUAACGCGUAUCCAACCUGGCCCAUACCACGGGAUAGCCCGUCGAAAGGCGGAUUAAUACCGUAUGCUGUCAUUAAGAUGCAUAUAUUGAUGACGAAAGGACUGGCGGUAUGGGAUGGGGAUGCGUCUGAUUAGCUUGUUGGCGGGGUAACGGCCCACCAAGGCGACGAUCAGUAGGGGUUCUGAGAGGAAGGUCCCCCACAUUGGAACUGAGACACGGUCCAAACUCCUACGGGAGGCAGCAGUGAGGAAUAUUGGUCAAUGGGCGCAAGCCUGAACCAGCCAAGUAGCGUGAGGGAAGACUGCCCUACGGGUUGUAAACCUCUUUUGUUUGGGAAUAAAGUGCGGGACGCGUCCCGCAUUGCAUGUACCAUUUGAAUAAGGACCGGCUAAUUCCGUGCCAGCAGCCGCGGUAAUACGGAAGGUCCGGGCGUUAUCCGGAUUUAUUGGGUUUAAAGGGAGCGCAGGCCGUGGGUUAAGUGUGUCGUGAAAUUCCGUCGCUCAACGGCGGACGUGCGGCGCGAACUGGUCCACUUGAGUACGCGGGACGUUGGCGGAAUUCGUGGUGUAGCGGUGAAAUGCUUAGAUAUCACGAAGAACUCCGAUUG
rnacentral:rRNA from 1 species